GGCGGGAGCUGGUGCAAUAACGUUUGGUCUUCCGGGAAAGAUAUCAGAUGCUAAAGUUAUACUCAAUGGUGGCAAGAGAAUUACUUUCCUUAGACCGGAUGGAUACUUUUCAUUCCAUAAUAUCUCGGCUGGGACGCAUCUAAUUGAGGUGUCCGCCCUUGGAUAUUUCUUUUCACCGGUACGAGUUGAUGUCAGUGCUAGGAAUCCUGGCAAGGUUCAGGCUGCCCUGACAGAGAGUAGGAGGAUCUUGAAUGAGUUGGUUUUAGAGCCAUUGCGAGAGGAACAGUACUAUGAGGUUGAUUUGACUGGAA